CUAUUAUGAGGUAUGGCCUUGUUGAAGGAAGUGUAUCAUUAUGGGGAUGGGCUUUGGAGGUCUUCUGAUAUGCUCACAAUCCAGCCAUUGUAGAAGAGAUCUUCCUUCUAACUCCAUGAGGAUGCCAGUCUCUCCUGGUUGCUUUCAGAUCAAGAUGCAGAAUUCUCAGCUCCUUCUUCAGCACCGUGUUUGCCUGCAUACAACCAUGCUUCCAUCGAUGAUAAUGGGCUAAACCUCUGAAACUCACGGGAUAUGAACCUCUGUCACAAGCUCUCAUUGCCAAGAUCUCCAUCAUACUCCCUGCAAUAACCUGAAGUGUUUGGAGGUUGUCUCUUGGAGGCCUGCUCUUGUCUGAAAGCAAGUGAGGAAGCUUUCAGGGAUUCCACUCUAGCUUUUAUGGCCAGAACCUUUACCUGCUGAGCGCCUUUCCAGCCCAUGACAAAACAUAUUUCCAGAUAACAUAAUCAGAGAUACUGGAGCACUCGAUCCCAAUGACCUUGCGGGCCCCUGCCUUGGCAGCGAACAUGCAGAGGAUGCCAGUGCCCGAGCCCACAUCCAGCACCACCUUGUCUUUGAAGAGAUGCCGAUUGUGAAACAUGGAGUUGCGCUUUCACAGUAUUUUCUGGAACUCUGGAAUCUAGAUGGCAGAAAAGAAGCUUGCAGGACAGAUCCAGUUUUAAUCAUCAAAGUCUUGUUUCUCAAGUGUCUUCAGCAAGAGAGACCACCCUCAAGACUGAGAGAUCCUGGCAAGAUAAGGUUUAUAAAUGGGGGAGCCUAGCCUCCAGGAAUGAGCCAAUAUGAAUGGCGUAAAGAAAGUUCUUCUUUGGCAAUUGAAGCCAUAUUGUGAGUUUAUAAAGUAAAUCAACAGAC
ensembl:lncRNA